rnacentral:rRNA from 1 species
UACGUAGGUGGCAAGCGUUGUCCGGAAUUACUGGGUGUAAAGGGAGCGUAGGCGGGAAUCCAAGUUGGGUGUGAAAUACCUAGGCUUAACCUAGGGGCUGCAUCCAAAAACUGGGUUUCUUGAGUGAUGUAGAGGCAGGCGGAAUUCCUAGUGUAGCGGUGAAAUGCGCAGAUAUCAGGAGGAACACCGGUGGCGAAGGCGGGUCUCUGGGCCGAUACUGACGCUGAGGAGCGAAAGCGUGGGGAGCGAACAGG